GAUGAACGCUGGCGGCGUGCCUAAUACAUGCAAGUCGAGCGAACGGACGAGAAGCUUGCUUCUCUGAUGUUAGCGGCGGACGGGUGAGUAACACGUGGAUAACCUACCUAUAAGACUGGGAUAACUUCGGGAAACCGGAGCUACUACCGGAUGAUAUUUUGAACCGCAUGGUUCAAAAGUGAAAGACGGUCUUGCUGUCACUUAUAGAUGGAUCCGCGCUGCAUUAGCUAGUUGGUAAGGUAACGGCUUACCAAGGCAACGAUGCAUAGCCGACCUGAGAGGGUGAUCGGCCACACUGGAACUGAGACACGGUCCAGACUCCUACGGGAGGCAGCAGUAGGGAAUCUUGCGCAAUGGGCGAAAGCCUGACGGAGCAACGCCGCGUGAGUGAUGAAGGUCUUCGGAUCGUAAAGCUCUGUUAUUAGGGAAGAACAUAUGUGUAAGUAACUGUGCACAUCUUGACGGUACCUAAUCAGAAAGCCACGGCUAACUACGUG
rnacentral:rRNA from 1 species